rnacentral:rRNA from 2 species
UAGGGAAUCUUCGGCAAUGGACGAAAGUCUGACCGAGCAACGCCGCGUGAGUGAAGAAGGUUUUCGGAUCGUAAAACUCUGUUGUUAGAGAAGAACAAGGACGUUAGUAACUGAACGUCCCCUGACGGUAUCUAACCAGAAAGCCACGGCUAACUACGUGCCAGCAGCCGCGGUAAUACGUAGGUGGCAAGCGUUGUCCGGAUUUAUUGGGCGUAAAGCGAGCGCAGGCGGUUUCUUAAGUCUGAUGUGAAAGCCCCCGGCUCAACCGGGGAGGGUCAUUGGAAACUGGGAGACUUGAGUGCAGAAGAGGAGGGUGGAAUUCCAUGUGUAGCGGUGAAAUGCGUAGAUAUAUGGAGGAACACCAGUGGCGAGGGCGGCUCUCUGGUCUGUAACUGACGCUGAGGCUCGAAAGCGUGGGGAGCAAACAGG